rnacentral:rRNA from 1 species
GAUGAACGCUGGCGGCGUGCCUAAUACAUGCAAGUCGAGCGAACAGAUGAGGAGCUUGCUCCUCUGACGCUAGCGGCGGACGGGUGAGUAACACGUGGAUAACCUACCUAUAAGACUGGGAUAACUUCGGGAAACCGGAGCUAAUACCGGAUAAUAUAUUGAACCGCAUGGUUCAAUAGUGAAAGACGGUUUUGCUGUCACUUAUAGAUGGAUCCGCGCCGCAUUAGCUAGUUGGUAAGGUAACGGCUUACCAAGGCAACGAUGCGUAGCCGACCUGAGAGGGUGAUCGGCCACACUGGAACUGAGACACGGUCCAGACUCCUACGGGAGGCAGCAGUGGGGAAUCUUCCGCAAUGGGCGAAAGCCUGACGGAGCAACGCCGCGUGAGUGAUGAAGGUCUUCGGAUCGUAAAACUCUGUUAUUAGGGAAGAACAAAUGUGUAAGUAACUAUGCACGUCUUGACGGUACCUAAACAGAAAGCCACGGCUAACUACGUG